GAAGACCUUUAUGAUAAUCUGCUUCCACUUAAUGAAUAGUUUAAGGUUGCUCUGAUGAAUUAAAGGCAAUGUAACUAUGAAACAAGAAUCAUAUUUUUCUUCUUCCGAAUCUUGUGUUACAGACCCUGGAGAUCAAGAAAGCAGUUGCUCUUCUCUAACAUAGGCCUUCCUUGUGGCAAAUUACCAUUACUAGCUGCAU